GUGUCAGCCGCCGCGGUAAUACAGAGACUGCAAGCGUUGUUCGGAUUCAUUGGGCGUAAAGGGUCCGUAGGCGGUCGGUUAAGUCGGAUGUGAAAUCUCACAGCCUAACUGUGAGCGGUCAUUCGAAACUAAUCGGCUAGAGGGCUGGAGAGGAGACUGGAAUUGUCGGUGUAGCGGUGAAAUGCGUAGAGAUCGACAAGAACACCGGUGGCGAAGGCGGGUCUCUGGACAGUUCCUGACGCUGAGGGACGAAAGCUAGGGGAGCAAACGGGAUUAGAUACCCCCGUAGUCC
rnacentral:rRNA from 1 species